rnacentral:lncRNA from 1 species
UGAGAGCAUUGUGUCUGUGAAUUUCAAUAUAAAGCCUAGGGCUGUGAACUGGAAGAGGAAAAAAAAUAAUAACAUUCCAGUAACAUGUUUUUUUCUCCCACAUUGUAUAUGGCAGUUGGUUAGAUUUAGUGAAUGAUAAGCUUUUAGAUAAAAAAUGGGAAACUAAGUAAGAUAGGCAGCAUUUGAUUUCAUUUAGGAAAAGAAUGAAAGAAGAUGGAGAGAUCUGAGUACAACCAUCAAGUGAAGGCGUAACCAAGGGAGGCUUGAUUGAAAAGUGCUACUGUUCCUCAUCCCAUUUUAUCCCCCAGAAAA